rnacentral:rRNA from 1 species
GGGCCCGCACAAGCGGUGGAGCAUGUGGUUUAAUUCGAUGAUACGCGAGGAACCUUACCAGGGCUUAAAUGUAGUCUGACAGCUUUAGAGAUAGAGUUUUCUUCGGACAGAUUACAAGGUGCUGCAUGGUUGUCGUCAGCUCGUGCCGUGAGGUGUCAGGUUAAGUCCUAUAACGAGCGCAACCCCUGUCGUUAGUUGCCAGCAUGUCAUGAUGGGGACUCUAACGAGACUGCCGGUGCAAACCGCGAGGAAGGUGGGGAUGACGUCAAAUCAUCAUGCCCCUUAUGUCUUGGGCUUCACGCAUGCUACAAUGGCCGGUACAGAGGGCUGCAAUACCGCAAGGUGGAGCGAAUCCCAAAAAGCCGGUCUCAGUUCGGAUUGAGGUCUGCAACUCGACCUCAUG